rnacentral:rRNA from 2 species
AUUGCCUCAGUAACGGCGAGUGAAGCGGCAACAGCUCAAAUUUGAAAUCUGGCUCCUUUGGAGUCCGAGUUGUAAUUUGUAGAGGGUGCUUUGGCGUUGGUUGUGGUCUAAGUUCCUUGGAACAGGACGUCACAGAGGGUGAGAAUCCCGUACGUGGCCGCCAGCCUCCGCCGUGUAAAGCCCCUUCGAUGAGUCGAGUUGUUUGGGAAUGCAGCUCUAAAUGGGAGGUAAAUUUCUUCUAAAGCUAAAUAUUUGCCAGAGACCGAUAGCGCACAAGUAGAGUGAUCGAAAGAUGAAAAGCACUUUGGAAAGAGAGUCAAAAAGCACGUGAAAUUGUUGAAAGGGAAGCGCUUGCAGCUAGACGUGCCUUGGGUUGAUCAGCCGGACUUUUGCCCGGUGCACUCUUCCUUUGGCAGGCCAGCAUCAGUUUGGGCGGCUGGAUAAAGGUCUGUUAAACGUGACUUCCUUCGGGGAGAGCUUAUAGGGUAGACGACAUGCAGCCAGCCUGAACUGAGGUCCGCGCAUCUGCUAGGAUGCUGGCAUAAUAGCUGUAAGCGGCCCGUCUUGAAACACGGACCAAGGAGUCUAACAUCUAUGCGAGUGUUUGGGUGUCAAGCCCGAGCGCGUAAUGAAAGUAAACGUAGGUGGGAACCUUUUAGGUGCACCAUCGACCGAUCUUGAUGUCUUCGGAUGGAUUUGAGUAAGAGCAUAGCUGUUGGGACCCGAAAGAUGGUGAACUAUGCCUGAAUAGGGUGAAGCCAGAGGAAACUCUGGUGGAGGCUCGCAGCGGUUCUGACGUGCAAAUCGAUCGUC